rnacentral:rRNA from 1 species
CCUACGGGAGGCUGCAGUGGGGAAUAUUGGGCAAUGGGCGAAAGCCUGACCCAGCAACGCCGCGUGAAGGAUGAAGGCUUUCGGGUUGUAAACUUCUUUGAUCAGGGACGAAAAAAAUGACGGUACCUGAAGAACAAGCCACGGCUAACUACGUGCCAGCAGCCGCGGUAAUACGUAGGUGGCAAGCGUUAUCCGGAUUUACUGGGUGUAAAGGGCGUGUAGGCGGGCUGACAAGUCGGAUGUUUAAUUCCCGGGCUUAACCCGGGCGGGUCAUCCGAAACUGUCGGUCUUGAGUACUGGAGAGGAUAGUGGAAUUCCUAGUGUAGCGGUAAAAUGCGUAGAUAUUAGGAGGAACACCAGUGGCGAAGGCGGCUAUCUGGACAGUAACUGACGCUGAGGCGCGAAAGCGUGGGGAGCAAACAGGAUUAGAUACCCCUGUAGUC